UCUUGGGUGCUCAGAAGUCUCGAUCACGGUCGUGUUCAGACGUCGAUUACGGUUUAAGAUACAAAGUGUGAUAUAGAAUAAAUAGUGUACUCAGAGUGUUGAAAUAACUAGAAGAGAUUAUUUCCUGCCCAUCUCGCCACAUCCCGUAGCGUUCCAAGUGAUAUUUCCAACAGGUUAUGGGCCCAGGGCACGAUUCCCCAGCGUGAGGAACGUAACACGAACGUGCGUACGAAGUGUGUGAGACGCCGGCGAAAGGCAUAAGAAAAAGAGAUAGAAGCAUCUAGAAGAUUAGAGGAUGGAAAAAGAGACAGAGAAUCUUUCGACGAAGGGAAAAAAUUAAGACGCUUUAGUAGACUAUGACAGCGAAGACAGUAUUGUCACAGUAAUAGAAAGAGAGAGAGAUAGCGAGGAGACAGUAAGAAAAGAUAGAGAUAGAGCGAGCCAAACUGAGUCGAAAGUGCUUUGUUAUAAUCCUCGCCGGUGUGUUGACCUACGACAUGCCUCUUCUUGCAAGACCUUUCAUAUCAUUGCUGUGCAUGUGUCGUGUCGAUAAGAUCGUCAAGACUUCUCGCAGAGAGUAUUUAUUAUGUAUUCAUGGCUCUGUAUUCCACGUUUUUCAGACCGAAUGGUGAGUUUCCUAAGGGAUCUUUUUAAUAUCUCAACAUUAAUUGAACAAAUUUACAGAUAUGGAUCAAUUGGUCUAUGUUUCUGAUACUUUGAAUCAGUAAACUCACCAUACGGUACGGAGAACGUGUAACUUAAUUUCUGUAACUACCGCUGAAGAUGGCUCAAAACUGAGCCGAAACGUACGGAUCGAUGUAAUGUAUCAAAACGACGAAUAAAUCACUUAUUUCUGAUAUUACGCACUGUGAUCUGCGUCUGACCCUCAUAGCCUUCUCCUAUUUUAAUCUCGAGGGUCCUCAUAUU